CAUGAUCCAGGCCUUCCUUAGCCGUAAUUGGGAAGCAGAGGCUAGAGCAGAAAGAAUAUCUGCAAACUGCAUUUCAAAACCUGUUUGAUGCAGACUCUGCUGGAAUCAAUAGUAAAAGUAAUUAUUUAAAAUUGCAAUACCAACCAACAGCCUUACCUGCUAUAGGCUUUCCUUAGCCGUAUUUGGGAAACAGAGGCUAGAGCAGACAGAAUAGCUG